AUUGAACGCUGGCGGCAGGCCUAACACAUGCAAGUCGAGCGGGGUUUUCGGACCUAGCGGCGGACGGGUGAGUAAUGCGUAGGAAGCUGCCCGAUAGAGGGGGAUACCAGGUAGAAACGACUGUUAAUACCGCAUAAUGUCUACGGACCAAUGUGUGGGACCUUCGGGCCACAGGCAAUCGGCUGCGCCCAAGUGGGAUUAGCUAGUGGGUGAGGUAAUGGCUCACCAAGGCGACGAUCUCUAGCGGGUUUGAGAGGAUGAUCAGCCACACUGGAACUGAGAAACGGUCCAGACUCCUACGGGAGGCAGCAGUGGGGAAUAGUGGACAAUGGGCGCAAGCCUGAUCCAGCCAUGCCGCGUUUGUGAAGAAGGCCUUCGGGUUGUAAAGCACUUUCAGCGAGGAGGAAGGGUGGUGUGUUAAUAGCACAUCAUUUUGACGUUACUCGCAGAAGAAGCACCGGCUAACUCUGUGCCAGCAGCCGCAGUAA
rnacentral:rRNA from 1 species